rnacentral:rRNA from 1 species
GGAGUUUGAUCCUGGCUCAGGAUGAACGCUAGCGGCAGGCUUAACACAUGCAAGUCGAGGGGCAGCACGGUAGCAAUACUGGUGGCGACCGGCAAACGGGUGCGGAACACGUACAGAACCUACCUUGAUCUGGGGCAUAGCCCGGAGAAAUCCGGAUUAACUCCCCAUAAUAUAUAUGAGUGGCAUCACUUGAAUAUUAAAAAUUUAUUGGAUCGAGAUGGCUGUGCGUCCCAUUAGCUAGUUGGUAGGGUAACGGCCUACCAAGGCGACGAUGGGUAGCUGGUGUGAGAGCACGACCAGCCACACGGGCACUGAGACACGGGCCCGACUCCUACGGGAGGCAGCAGUGAGGAAUAUUGGUCAAUGGACGCAAGUCUGAACCAGCCAUGCCGCGUGAAGGAUGAAGGCCUUCUGGGUUGUAAACUUCUUUUACCUGGGAAGAAACCCCGAUUUUCUAAUCGGGUUGACGGUACCAGAGGAAUAAGCACCGGCUAACUCCGUGCCAGCAGCCGCGGUAAUACGGAGGGUGCAAGCGUUAUCCGGAUUUACUGGGUUUAAAGGGUGUGUAGGCGGGCUUUUAAGUCAGUGGUGAAAUCUCCGGGCUCAACCCGGAAACUGCCAUUGAUACUAUUAGUCUUGAAUUUUGUUGAGGUAGGCGGAAUAAGUCAUGUAGCGGUGAAAUGCAUAGAUAUGACUAAGAACACCAAUUGCGAAGGCAGCUUACUAAGCAAAUAUUGACGCUGAGGCACGAAAGCGUGGGGAUCAAACAGGAUUAGAUACCCUGGUAGUCCACGCCCUAAACGAUGAUUACUCGACAUACGCGAUACACAGUGCGUGUCUGAGCGAAAGCAUUAAGUAAUCCACCUGGGAAGUACGACCGCAAGGUUGAAACUCAAAGGAAUUGACGGGGGUCCGCACAAGCUGUGGAGCAUGUGGUUUAAUUCGAUGAUACGCGAGGAACCUUACCUGGGCUAGAAUGCUACCUGACGAAUGCCGAAAGGUGUUUUUAUAGCAAUAUACAGGUAGUAAGGUGCUGCAUGGCCGUCGUCAGCUCGUGCCGUGAGGUGUUGGGUUAAGUCCCGCAACGAGCGCAACCCCUAUUUUCAGUUGCCAGCACGUAAUGAUGGGAACUCUGAAGAAACUGCCGCCGUAAGGCGUGAGGAAGGAGGGGAUGAUGUCAGGUCAUCAUGGCCUUUAUGCCCAGGGCUACACACGUGCUACAAUGGGGGAGACAAAGGGACGCUACCUGGCGACAGGAUGCAAAUCUCAAAAACUCCCUCUCAGUUCAGAUUGUAGUCUGCAACUCGACUACAUGAAGCUGGAAUCGCUAGUAAUCGCGCAUCAGCAAUGGCGCGGUGAAUACGUUCCCGGACCUUGUACACACCGCCCGUCAAGCCAUGGAAGCUGGGUGUACCUAAAGUCGGUAACCGCAAGGAGCCGCCUAGGGUAAAACUAGUAACUGGGGCUAAGUCGUAACAAGGUA